rnacentral:lncRNA from 10 species
AGUUUUUGGAUAUUGUGUAUAAAGCUGCAACUUUUGAAGGACUUUUUUUUUGUUUUUUGUUUUUUUGUUUAGUUUUGUUUUGAGACAGAGUCUCACUCCAUCGCCCAGGCUGGAGUGCAGUGGCAUGAUCUCAGCUCACUGAAACCUCUGCCUCCUGGGAGUUCAAGUGAUUCUCCUGCCUCAGCCUCCCAAGUAGCUGGGAUUACAGGUGCCCACCACCACACCCAGCUAAUUUCUGUAGUUUUAGUAGAGAUGGGGUUUCACCAUGUUGGCCAGUCUGGUCUCAAACUCCUGACCUCAGGUGAUCUUCCUGCCUCGGCCUCCCAAAGUGCUGGGAUUACAGACAUGAGCCACCGUGCCCAGCCAGGACACAUGUUUUCAUUUCUCUUGGGUUGCUGGGUUACAGAGUAGAUACAAUGUUUAGCUUCAGUAGAUAUUGCCAAAUAGUUUUACAAAGAGUAUCCCCACCAGCAAUGAGUGAAAAUUCCAGUUUCUCCACGUCCUUGUCAACACUUAGUAUUGCCAGUCUAAAAAGAAAAAUUUUAGCCAUUCUCGUGGGUGGCAAGAUUCAGGGUUGAAAGUUGACUGCCAACCACCCUGUACUCCUGUACCCUGUCCUCCAGGUCUGCCCAAGAUGGAGGUGUUUCAGGAAUACUACGGGCUUCCUCCACCCCCUGGAGCCAUUGGACCCUUUCUACGGCUCAACCCUGGAGACAUUGUGGAGCUCACGAAGGCUGAGGCUGAACAGAACUGGUGGGAGGGCAGAAAUACAUCUACUAAUGAAAUUGGCUGGUUUCCUUGU